GCGAUCAUUACUUACAGAUGCUGUGGGGAACAAAUCAAAGACUAUUCAAGUUUUUUCAAAAAAGUUGCUAAAUCGCCACCGAAAUAUCCUCAAACCGGUGUUUCAUUCUUAGACCCCAUUCUUGGAAAAGUAAAUGAGAUCAUUUCAAAUUUCAACCUCCAAUAUCCUGAUGACGUCUACGUUCUUCUUUAUGACUUUAUUGUAGAGAGACUUGAAGGAUUUGCAGAUACAAUAAAUGAAUUCUACAGAAAUAGAGAUAUUUCGGAAGCAGCAAAAGAUUUUAUACAGAGAGUUUGCAUCGAUAUUCACACGACAAUUUGCAAGUUGAAAGGUGCAAAUGGUCCACAUAAACCGAUUGUUUAUCGUCAAUUGGGCUAUGCUCAGCAAUAAAGGUCGAAUUUAUUGAGAAAUUGGGUUAUUGUUAUUAUCUUCUUCAUUUUUUUGAGAUGCAUAUCAAUUAUUAAUUAAAAGAUUUCUAUCAAGAUGUAUAUGACAAGUAAUAAUAAAAAAUGAUUUUAAUGUGACGAAUGUUUAUACAAA